rfam:Ipomoea nil DNA, scaffold: scaffold2647, cultivar: Tokyo-kokei standard.
GCAGGGAUAACUUAGUUAGGAAAGCGUUCAAUUGAAGAUUUGAAGGUCACGUGUUCAAUCCAUGUUCACUGCA